rnacentral:lncRNA from 1 species
CUCAUGAUUGGUUAAGGUGUCAUUUCUACCAUGAAAACAUUCCAUCAGUCAACUCAGCGCCCACACUAUGGCUUUUAGUUGAGCAUUGAAAACACUGUCAUAAAUAAAUAUCUCAAGUCAUUCAUUUGAGAGACAUAUCUCGCUUUUAUAAGCCAAGCAACGGUAUUGCAUGUGAUUUGAGGGAUGAGCCUUUGCAAAAUAA